AUGAGAACUUGCCCCUCGGGGUAGAUCUCCCACCCUCUGUGAACUUACCCAUGUUGCUUUGGCAGGCCCGUCCUCGGGCCGCCGGCUCCGGCUGGCCAGCGCCUGCCAGAGGAUCUUCAAACCCUGCCUGUCAGUGUUGUCUGAGUCUAUAUAUAAUUGUCA
rnacentral:misc_RNA from 1 species